rnacentral:rRNA from 1 species
AACGAACGCUGGCGGCAGGCUUAACACAUGCAAGUCGAGCGCCCCGCAAGGGGAGCGGCAGACGGGUGAGUAACGCGUGGGAACGUACCUUUUGGUUCGGAACAACUCCGGGAAACUGGAGCUAAUACCGGAUAAGCCCUAACGGGGAAAGAUUUAUCGCCGAAAGAUCGGCCCGCGUCUGAUUAGCUAGUUGGGGAGGUAACGGCUCACCAAGGCGACGAUCAGUAGCUGGUCUGAGAGGAUGAGCAGCCACACUGGGACUGAGACACGGACCAGACUCCUACGGGAGGCAGCAGUGGGGAAUAUUGGACAAUGGGCGCAAGCCUGAUCCAGCCAUGCCGCGUGAGUGAUGAAGGCCUUAGGGUUGUAAAGCUCUUUUGUCCGGGAAGAUAAUGACUGUACCGGAAGAAUAAGCCCCGGCUAACUUCGUG